rnacentral:rRNA from 1 species
GACAGAGGAGCCAAGCGUUGUCCGGAUUGACUGGGCGUAAAGCGCACGCAGGCGGCUCGGCGCGUGGGGUGUGAAAGCUGGCGGCUUAACUGCCAGACGCCAUCCCAUACGGCUGGGCUCGAGCCCUGCAGAGGUCCAUGGAAUUGCCGGUGUAGUGGUGAAAUGCGUAGAGAUCGGCAGGAACACCCAGGGGGAAACCAGUGGACUGGGCAGGAGCUGACGCUCAGGUGCGAAAGCGUGGGGAGCGAACAGG